CCUUGAUGGCGACCGGCGCACGGGUGAGUAACGCGUAUGCAACCUGCCCGAUACCGGGGUAUAGCCCAUGGAAACGUGGAUUAACACCCCAUAGUACUUUUAUCCUGCCUGGGAUGGGAGUUAAAUGUUCAAGGUAUCGGAUGGGCAUGCGUCCUAUUAGUUAGUUGGCGGGGUAACAGCCCACCAAGACGAUGAUAGGUAGGGGUUCUGAGAGGAAGGUCCCCCACAUUGGAACUGAGACGCGGUCCAA
rnacentral:rRNA from 1 species